UACAGAGGUCUCAAGCGUUGUUCGGAUUUCAUUGGGCGUAAAGGGUGUGUAGGUGGCGCCGUAAAGUCGGGUGUGAAAUUUCGAGCUUAACUCCGAAACUGCAUUCGAUACUGCGGUGCUUGAGGACUGGAGAGGAGACUGGAAUUUAUGGUGUAGCGGUGAAAAUGCGUAGAGAUCAUAGGAAGACCAGUGGCGAAGGCGGGUCUCUGGACAGUUUCCUGACGCUGAGGCA
rnacentral:rRNA from 1 species